rnacentral:rRNA from 1 species
UACGUAGGGUGCAAGCGUUGUCCGGAAUUAUUGGGCGUAAAGAGCUCGUAGGCGGUUCGUCGCGUCGGCUGUGAAAUCCCGAGGCUCAACCUCGGGUCUGCAGUCGAUACGGGCGGACUGGAGUUCGGCAGGGGAGACUGGAAUUCCUGGUGUAGCGGUGAAAUGCGCAGAUAUCAGGAGGAACACCAGUGGCGAAGGCAGGCUCGUGGGACGUACUGACGCUGAGGACGACGAACGUGGGGAGCAAACAGG